rnacentral:rRNA from 1 species
UACGGGGGGAGCAAGCGUUGUUCGGAUUUACUGGGCGUAAAGGGCGCGUAGGCGGUCGUGACAAGUCACUUGUGAAAUCUCCGGGCUUAACUCGGAACGGUCAAGUGAUACUGUCGGACUAGAGUACAGAAGGGGCAACUGGAAUUCUCGGUGUAGCGGUGAAAUGCGUAGAUAUCGGGAGGAAUACCAGUGGCGCAAGCGGCGCCCUGGCCGUGACCUGACACUGAGCCACGACGGCGUGGGGAGCAAACGGG